GUGGGAUACGGGGACAUGUGCCCGGUCACCAUCGGUGGCAAAAUCGUGGGCUCUUUAUGCGCCAUCGCCGGCGUGCUCACCAUAGCUCUCCCGGUGCCCGUCAUCGUGUCUAAU
rfam:Danio rerio unplaced genomic contig NA384, GRCz11 reference primary assembly.